AUACUUAUCUGGCAUGGGGAAUACUACAGUCAAGAAGAUGGCUUUCCCCAGGGUGAGCCACUUCCAUUGCUUCCUUUAUUUGGAUUUAUCUGUGUGAUUUCCUCAAACCUGGGAAACUCAAAUGCAUAAUUUAUGGUUUUAAGCAAACAAGCAGAUUUUUUUUUUUA